rnacentral:tRNA from 1 species
GCCCAGUUGGUUAAGCCUCUGACUCUUGAUUUUAGUUCAGGUCAUGGUCAGGGUUGUGGGAUCAAGCCCCGCAUUGGGCU